UUUACCACGGGGAGGAAAGCCACGACUCGAGAGGUCGGGGAGGAAAGCCACGCCGCGAGCCUCGAGCGAGAGACGACCGAACGAUGCGCCGUCGGCCAAGAUCCGGUGCCCCACCUUCUCCGCCCCCGAGCUACUCCGCCGGCGACAGAAAUGCUCAGGAUCCAAGAUCCGCCCCUCUAGUGACGGCAACGGACCGCGGCCAUCACCGUUCUCCCUCCCCGGAUCUCUCCUCCACCUCGAAGCUCCGGUACACUCCGGCGACGGCGACGGUUCCGUGGACGUAUUCUAUGUCAUCUGAUCAAGGGCUUUCAACUCACUAUAUCAUGUUGAUCUUGUUGUCUUUAUCGAUCAUUGAGAAGAAAGCAAGAAAGGUGCUCUGACAUUAGAACCGUUUUGCUUUGUCCGAAGACGUCGUGUUCAGUUGCUGGGUGCCUUUCGGUUCAUUGGUUUUGGCACUCGAGGACUACAUAGAUUUUCUGAAGAAGCAAUCUGCAAAUUACUUGAAGAGAUAAAGAAAUCAAAGCAAGAGGACUUGUACUCGAUUGGAAAUUGUGUUUUUGCGCUAGAGAUAAUUGAAGAGCUAUCUGUUUCAGCAAAAGCAAAGGCGCUGCGGCUUUUCAAAUGCCCAAUGAAUAGAGAGAUAUUCAUCAAUACCAAGAACCCAAGCCUUAGGCUUUUCUGGUUGAAGGAGGAGAUUACUGCAAUGGAGAGAACAUAAGUUCAGUCAACAUCAAGAUGCAGUACCUGAUGUCGACGAGGAUGCUGAGUGGAGAAACGACUUGAGUAGGGCUAGUGAUCGCUGCCUUGCAGUUCUUCUAAUUCGUUAUCUCUUGCCGUGGACUUGGCAAGUGAUAAUUCAUUUUUUUGUUAUCGUGAACAAAUUUGAAUGAUGAUGGCACAUGAAAACGGUUUCGACCAACGCUUGCUUUGAAUGAGAUGUGGACCGACCGGUAUUUGAACCCUUGUGAAUUGAUGGCUAUUGGUCGUAAUAAUCCUAUCUAGUUUACAUAAAUCCUGAGAUUUUAUAUGUGUUUGUUUUUUUAGAAUUAUUCAUGGAAUUCUUAUCUAUGGUCCGUUGUAUCUGUAGAAUUUUGUA